rnacentral:rRNA from 1 species
GAUGAACGCUGGCGGCGUGCCUAGUACAUGCAAGUCGAGCGAACAGACGAGGAGCUUGCUCCUCUGACGUUAGCGGCGGACGGGUGAGUAACACGUGGAUAACCUACCUAUAAGACUGGGAUAACUUCGGGAAACCGGAGCUAAUACCGGAUAAUAUAUUGAACCGCAUGGUUCAAUAGUGAAAGACGGUUUUGCUGUCACUUAUAGAUGGAUCCGCGCCGCAUUAGCUAGUUGGUAAGGUAACGGUUUACCAAGGCGACGAUGCGUAGCCGACCUGAGAGGGUGAUCGGCCACACUGGAACUGAGACACGGUCCAGACUCCUACGGGAGGCAGCAGUAGGGAAUCUUCCGCAAUGGGCGAAAGCCUGACGGAGCAACGCCGCGUGAGUGAUGAAGGUCUUCGGAUCGUAAAACUCUGUUAUUAGGGAAGAACAAAUGUGUAAGUAACUAUGCACGUCUUGACGGUACCUAAUCAGAAAGCCACGGCUAACUACGUG